rnacentral:rRNA from 1 species
CACCCGCCGAUGUAGUGGUGAUCACUUUUAUUGAGCCUAAAGCGUUCCUAGCCGGUUCUGUAAAUCUUCAGAUAAAUUCAUUCGCUCAACGGAUGAUCUUCUGAAGAGACUGUAGAACUUGGGACCGGGUGAGGUUGAAUGUACUUCCGGGGUAGGUGUAAAAUCCUGUAAUCCUGGAAGGACAACCGGUGGCGAAGGCGUCCAACGAGAACGGAUCCGACGGUGUGGAAGGAGUGCUAGGGGAGCAAACCGG